rnacentral:rRNA from 1 species
GAUGAACGCUAGCGGCAGGCCUAAUACAUGCAAGUCGGACGGGAUUCAGGAGCUUGCUUCUGAUGAGAGUGGCGCACGGGUGCGUAACACGUAUGUAACCUACCUUUAUCAGGGGGAUAGCCUCUCGAAAGAGAGAUUAAGCCCGCAUAAAAUCACAGCACAGCAUUGUGUAAUGAUCAAAUAUUUAUAGGAUAAAGAUGGGCAUGCGGAACAUUAGCUAGAUGGCGGGGUAACGGCCCACCAUGGCGACGAUGUUUAGGGGAUCUGAGAGGAUGGCCCCCCACACUGGUACUGAGACACGGACCAGACUCCUACGGGAGGCAGCAGUAAGGAAUAUUGGUCAAUGGGCGGAAGCCUGAACCAGCCAUGCCGCGUGCAGGAAGACGGCCCUACGGGUUGUAAACUGCUUAUAUACGGGAAUAAACCCAGAUACGUGUAUCUGGCUGAAUGUACUGUAAGAAUAAGGAUCGGCUAACUCCGUG